UACAGAGGCCCGUAGCGUUGUUCGGAUUUACUGGGCGUAAAGGGCGCGUAGGCGGCCUAGCGUGUCGGAUGUGAAAUCUCCGGGCUCAACCCGGAAAGUGCGUCAAAAACUGCCAGGCUCGAGUGCGGGAUGGGGAAGGGGAAUGCAGGGUGUAGCGGUGAAAUGCGUUGAUACCCUGCAGAACACCGGAGGCGAAGGCGCCUUCCUGGAACGCAACUGACGCUGAGGCGCGAAGGCCGGGGGAGCAAAC
rnacentral:rRNA from 1 species